CGCCUGGUGUAUCAAUUACCAUAGUACUGCCUGCGCAAGUCUAACCUAACCCUUAACCCUAACCAAUACAGCAGGAAUUGAAAUAUUAGCACUAUUUAUGCCCAAAUAUUAAGAGAAGAUCUGUACUUAAUUUUGUAAUGGUGAUGUGCAAAUUGAUAAGACGAUAUAAUUCAAUUACUUGUGUAAACAGUUGCAAUGUGUAAUUCUUGUCAUCGAGCAUUAUACUGAUAUGUUACUAU